rnacentral:rRNA from 1 species
UACGUAGGGGGCUAGCGUUGUUCGGAAUUACUGGGCGUAAAGCGCACGUAGGCGGAUUGGAAAGUCAGAGGUGAAAUCCCGGGGCUCAACCCCGGAAUGGCCUUUGAAACUCCCAGUCUUGAGGUCGAGAGAGGUGAGUGGAAUUCCGAGUGUAGAGGUGAAAUUCGUAGAUAUUCGGAGGAACACCAGUGGCGAAGGCGGCUCACUGGCUCGAUACUGACGCUGAGGUGCGAAAGCGUGGGGAGCAAACAGG